ensembl:lncRNA
GGAGGAGGAUGGAGGAAGUGGUACUGAAGGUAAUGUAUGGAAGGAGGAGGAUGGAGGAAGUGGUACUGAAGGUAAUGUAUGGAAGGAGGAGGGGGGAGGAUGGAGGAAGUGGUACUGAAGGUAAUGUAUGGAAGGAGGAGGAUGAGGAAGUGGAAGUGGUACUGAAGGUAAUGUAUGGAAGGAGGAGGGGGGGGGAUGGAGGAAGUGGUACUGAAGGUAAGGCAUGGAAGGAGGAGGGGGAGGAUGGAGGAAGUGGUACUGAAGGUAAUGUAUGGAGGAUGGGAGUGAGCGAGUUGUUAUGGGAUACGGGGGAUGUUUAAAUCAAAGGUUUACACUACAGCUUCGCUCCAACAUCAAAGCUUGCCCUCUCUUCUCUCGUUACUCUGGGAAGUCCCCCCCCAUCUUUCCCCUCCCUCUCCCUGCCAACCUGUUCCUCCUGUUCUUCAGUUAGAGCACAGUUGCAUCAAAGCGUCAUCUUCGAG